ensembl:snoRNA SNORD83 Small nucleolar RNA SNORD83
GCCAAAUGAUGUUUAAAUAGCUCAAUGAGCACUCAGUGCAAUGAUUACACCCAUCUAUCACCCAAGACUGAUGGCU